UUCCAGACUCCUACGGGAGGCAGCAGUGGGGAAUAUUGCGCAAUGGGCGAAAGCCUGACGCAGCGACGCCGCGUGAGGGAUGAAGGUCUUCGGAUCGUAAACCUCUGUCAGCAGGGAAGAACGGUCACUGUGCUAAUCAGCAGUGAAUUGACGGUACCUGCAAAGGAAGCACCGGCUAACUCCGUGCCAGCAGCCGCGGUAAUACGUAUGGUGCAAGCGUUAUCCGGAUUUACUGGGCGUAAAGGGAGCGCAGGCGGCGCGCCAAGUCUGAUGUGAAACCCCGGGGCUCAACCCCGGGCAUGCAUUGGAAACUGGCGGGCUGGAGUGCCGGAGAGGUAAGCGGAAUUCCUAGUGUAGCGGUGAAAUGCGUAGAUAUUAGGAGGAACACCAGUGGCGAAGGCGGCUUACUGGACGGCAACUGACGCUGAGGCUCGAAAGCGUGGGGAGCAAACAGGAUUAGAUACCCGCGUACA
rnacentral:rRNA from 1 species